AUUGAACGCUGGCGGCAGGCUUAACACAUGCAAGUCGAGCGGAGCGAGGGUGCUUGCACCUUAGCUUAGCGGCGGACGGGUGAGUAAUGCUUAGGAAUCUGCCUAUUAGUGGGGGACAACGUUUCGAAAGGAACGCUAAUACCGCAUACGUCCUACGGGAGAAAGCAGGGGAUCUUCGGACCUUGCGCUAAUAGAUGAGCCUAAGUCGGAUUAGCUAGUUGGUGGGGUAAAGGCCUACCAAGGCGACGAUCUGUAGCGGGUCUGAGAGGAUGAUCCGCCACACUGGGAAUGAGACACGGCCCAGACUCCUACGGGAGGCAGCAGUGGGGAAUAUUGGGCAAUGGGGGGAACCCUGAUCUAGCCAUGCCGCGUGUGUGAAGAAGGCCUUUUGGUUGUAAAGCACUUUAAGCGAGGAGGAGGCUUACCUAGUUAAUACCUGGGAUAAGUGGACGUUACUCGCAGAAUAAGCACCGGCUAACUCUGUGCCAGCCGCCGCCGUAACAC
rnacentral:rRNA from 1 species